rnacentral:miRNA from 1 species
CUGUCACAAAGGUGGGUGGAGCCAGUGAGGAUUGCUAAUUCUUCUGUGUCAAAGAUCUUCUCCCUUUUUGCAG